UUUCAUUCGGCGGCACUAGAAAGAGCGACACAGAGAGAGAGAGAGAGAGAGAGAGAGAGAGAGCUACAGCGGCGGAGAAUCAUGGCGAUUCCGAGCUCUUCCUCUGCUCGAGCUUGAUUUCCGUUCUGCUGCUCCGUGGGUUUGGAUUUUUGAAAUGGGUAGGCUAUGGAAGGUCUCUCACAAGGACGUUCCUGUAGUUUCAUCUUUUAGCAGUGCAUAUUCUUUGGAUGAACCCUUUGUGCCUAAUGACUUCGCGGAAGAUGAUUCAUAUCCUAUGUCACCGGAACUAUCAGAAGAUGACGGCAACUUUGACAGAGCUCUAUUCGAGUUCUAUAUGAAUCAUGAGCUCCGAAGAAGCUUUUGUGACCUUCUAUGAUUUUUUGCUUCUUUGCUUGUUCGCAACUUCAAUCAUGCAGAUAAGUAUGCGAUGUUUACCUUGUAUAUAAUCUCUGAUUGUAGGAGCUCUGUAAAUGAAAAUGUUGCCUGAAAUAAAAUUUGUAGUUUCAAAUUUUUGUAGAGAAUUUUUCCAAAGUAUUUGCGAUUGUUUUGCUACUGCAAGCUACUCAAGCUUACAUUUAGAAUGAGAUCUCGUGGCAUCGUUAGAAGUUCCUCUUGAGCGGUUGUUCUUUUUAUGCCUUCCAUCUGAAAAUUUGAAAAAUAAGAUGUCAUUAAUAUCAAUAGCCAAAAUGCUGUGUUAUUUAUGAUUUUCAUUGACCAAGCACUGUUAAUUGUGAUCAUUACUGAGAAUGUAGUUUAUUUCUUACUUGCAAUUUCACUGUAAAUGUUAUUUCAGGGGAAAUCAACACUGUAUAUUUAGGGGAAUUAUAAUGGAACUUAAAGUGCAAAUUUCAGUGUAUUUGCACUGUAAUUUGAGGGAUUUUACAGUAGUAAAUUUAGAGAAAUUACACUGUAAUUCCUGUGCAAAUCACUGUAAUUGCCCUGCGACUUACAGGGCAAUUAUUUUGGUUUCUCUUUGAAGGGUAACAUCAUUUUUCUAGAUAGUGUUGCGGGUUUGUCAAAGUUAGGUGUAAUUUCAGAGCAAUUCAACUGUAAAUCUGCAGAUUUACAGUGUAAUUCAAUUACACUGUAACUCCACUGUAAAUCUGUACAUAUGCUAGUGUAAAUUACACUCUUUAAGGAAUUCUACUGUAAAUCUAUAAUUUCUACUGUAAUUCAACUGAAUUACUACUGUAAUUUUGGUGUAAGUCUACUGUAGUUUUAGAGUCAUCAGAUUAGUGCCUAAUGUGUUUGAAUUUUCACUGUUAAAUGAGUGCAAAAUGACAGCAUUAUAGUUAAAUGAUCUGCUAGAUAGUACAUGAGCAAUAUAACAAAAUGACUGGAAUUAUGUUUUCUAAAUUUGCUCUGUAGUGUACCUCCAGUGUAAUUGUAUCUAUGUACAAUGUAAUUGUAUCUGUAAGUUGAGUGUAAAUAGACAGUAAUCACAGUAAUCACAGUGUUCCUAAUUUCUGAAAGUUUCAGUGUCAGUGUUUUUUUUAUUGAAAGUUCUAGUAGUAAUGGCACUGUAAUAUUUACACACUAUAAGUGUAAGUAAUACCCCUGAUAUGCCACUGUAACGGCAGUGCUAAUUUGACUGUAAGUUUUGUGUAAAUGACUGUAAUUAUCUACAAGUUCCAGUCAUAGUGUCACUGUAAUUUCAAACAGUAUGAGUAAAUACACUGUAAUUUUAGUAGUUCCAGUGCUAAUUUGACUGUAA